rnacentral:tRNA from 1 species
GUCUCUGUGGCGCAAUGGAUUAGCGCGCUGGACUUCUAAUCCAGAGGUUCCGGGAUC